rnacentral:rRNA from 1 species
CAGUCGCCACGGGAAUACGUAGGGUGCAAGCGUUAAUCGGAAUUACUGGGCGUAAAGCGUGCGCAGGCGGUUAUAUAAGACAGAUGUGAAAUCCCCGGGCUCAACCUGGGAACUGCAUUUGUGACUGUAUAGCUAGAGUACGGCAGAGGGGGAUGGAAUUCCGCGUGUAGCAGUGAAAUGCGUAGAUAUGCGGAGGAACACCGAUGGCGAAGGCAAUCCCCUGGGCCUGCACUGACGCUCAUGCACGAAAGCGUGGGGAGCAAACAGGAUUAGAUACCCCCGUAGUCCCUGUCUCUUAUAC